rnacentral:rRNA from 1 species
GGCGGCGUGCCUAACACAUGCAAGUCGAACGGAGAUUUCAGCAAUGGGAUCUUAGUGGCGAACGGGUGAGUAACGCGUAGACAACCUACCACUUAGAUGGGGACAACACUGGGAAACUAGUGCUAAUACCGAAUGUUGCAUCUUGGUUGCAUAAUCGAGAUACUAAAGAUGGCCUCUAUUUAUAAGCUAUCGCUAAGUGAUGGGUCUGCGUCUGAUUAGCUAGUUGGUGAGGUAAUGGCUCACCAAGGCGACGAUCAGUAGCCGGUCUGAGAGGAUGAACGGCCACACUGGGACUGAGACACGGCCCAGACUCCUACGGGAGGCAGCAGUGGGGAAUCUUCCGCAAUGGACGAAAGUCUGACGGAGCAACGCCGCGUGAGUGAAGAAGGUUUUCGGAUCGUAAAACUCUGUUUUCAGGGACGAAUGUGCCGAUUGUAAAUAAUGAUUGGUAAUGACGGUACCUGAGUAGAAAGCCACGGCUAACUACGUG